UACAGUAUUGAAGCGCCCCCCGCCUCCGGCCGAGCGGCAAACCGAGAAGUUACCUCCAGUUACUCCGCGUGAGACCCCGCACGAGCAGCGGCAGAGUGAGGACCGACCGGGAGAAAAGAAGCUCACCGAGUAAUGUCAGUAUCAACAACACCCGGUACAGAGAGUGUCGGGCGCCGGUAGUCGUUUAGUGUCGUGAAGAGGAGGACUUCCUCGUUGCUUUGCUUUCUCUUCGAACCGGCAGCCGACAACCGUUGAAAGUCAAGAUGCCUCAGAAACAGAAGUCCAAGUCCUGGACAGAGCUGAAACAAUCUGGAAAUGAAUAUUUUAAGGCGGGCCAGUACGGAGAGGCCACCAAUCUUUACAGCCAGGCGAUCAAAGAGCUGGAGAAGUCCAAUAAAAAGAACCCAGAGGAUUUGGGCAUUUUGUACUCAAACCGUGCUGCAAGCUACCUGAAAGAUGGCAAUUGUGCAGAAUGUGUGAAAGACUGCA